GCGAGAUCAUGACCUGAGCUGAAGUCAGACGCUUAACCGACGGAGCCACCCAGGUGCCCCUGGGCUCUUCUUUUUCAUUGGUUCAUUCACCUAUUCAUCAGGGUGCCAUCUGGAGGCAGGCAUCAGCCAGGAGCAAACUAAGUCCUUGCCCUCAGCAGCUCAAAGUUUAGUGGUGGAAGGAGAGGACAACCGGACAAACACCAGUGCAGGAGUGAACCAAAAUCUUCACCCUGGUGUGGCUUGCUACUCUAGCAGUAAAAACAGGCCCUCCACAAGCCCCACGGCAGGGGUGGUGAUUCCGUAGAACUACUCUGUAGGGUUGCCACGAGGAUUCAAUGACACACAUGAGGCACUCAGCUCCAAGCCCAGCGCUGUGUAA